rnacentral:lncRNA from 1 species
AAUAUCCAAUUUUAACAAUUAAACAGCUGUCUCCAUAUCCAGUUCGGUAAUGGGCACCAAAUAUUUCAUCGCCUUGACACCCCCUCCAGUAUGAGGGUGAACCAUAUCUCUAAAACCUUUCCGGUAUGAGAUUUCUCAGUCCUGUUCGACUGAGAUGAUGUUCACGGUGGAGUUCUGUAAAGGCCCAGAUGUAAUACCCCAAAUUAAUUUUUAAUGUAAUUUAAAAU